GCCAGGCUGGCUUAGUCAGCAGAGCAUGUGACUCUUGAUCUUAGGGUUGUGAGUUCAAACCCCACAUUGGGCA
rnacentral:tRNA from 1 species